UAUGUUUCGCUAGUUGCUACACGUUCUUGCUCGAUGAAACAAUUGCAAGCUAUUUUUGUUAUUCUUGGUUGCCAAGCUUUAACGAUUCUGGAACAUGGCAUGUUUAUGUUGUGCCUCUUUUCUUAGCUCAAUGACUGUGGAGGAGCUGGUGUUUGAUGUUUAAAAGCUGAGAUAAAUGUUAUUGAUGUCCUGUCAGCUGGUUCAACUCCCUCCAUACAGCUUAAAGAACCCUUUCACUUUUCUGAAUAGACAGGUCAAAGUCCCUUUAGCAACCAUGCUUGCCUAACAGUGGUUGAGGAAAGUCAAUACAUGAUGGAAAAGAGAAAGGAAAAUUUUUGAGCCUGUCUUGUAAAGACACUGUUAUAAACAUGCUUUUGUAAAUCCUAAAGGAAUUGUGCAAUUUCACUUCAGGAACAUCAAGUAAAAUGAGAUGCUGUAGUUUGGAAAGAAUGAUGUGCGUAUAACGAGUUAGCGGCCGAUUCGAAACAGAUGAUAUAGUAUUUCAUUUAUAUACAUUGAAGUGCAUAUCUGGGCCCCCUUCUUUUCUGCGGCCCCGUUUCCCCUUGACUCAUAAUAAGCCCGUAGGGGUCAUGCCCCUACUGUACGAUGUAUAUAAAAACAACAUAUAUCGAGGUUUGGAGGGCUCUUAUCCGCCGUUUGUGCUGCCGUUCCUCAUAAAGCGCUUCUCCAGAGUGACGACUCGUCGCGAGUGCAGGCCAUCCAUAUCGAUAACGGUUUCCUGCGUAAAGACCAAUCCGAGCAGGUCGUCACUAGUUUACACCAACUCAGGCUCAAUCUUCAGGUAAUUUGAGAUGUUUUUCUGGACCGUUCAGAAUCUUAUGAUUGGCCAAAAUUUGAUACGAGAUUAAUUGAUACAUCGUCCUGUCACAUCUUAAA
rnacentral:lncRNA from 1 species